AAACCCCCCAAGGGGCAAGGGGGUACCCCCAAGGGCCGCCGAAAAAAGGCGGCUUUCCCCCUGUGUAACGAGCCGGGGGAAUAAGGGGGGGGCAAGAUUGGUGUCAGCCCCCGCGGUAACACCAGCCCCCCGAGUUGUGGGGAUGCUUAUUUGGUCUAAAGCGUCCGUAGCCGGCCCGGUAAAAUCUCUCGUUAAAUCCAGCGUCCUAAGCGUUGGGCUGCGAGGGAGACUGCCGGGCUAGAGGGUGGGAGAGGUCAGCGGUAUUUCUGGGGUAGGGGCGAAAUCCAUUGAUCCCAGGAGGACCACCAGUGGCGAAGGCUGCUGACUAGAACACGCCUGACGGUGAGGGACGAAAGCUGGGGUAGCGAAUCGGAUUAGAUACCCGGGUAGUCCCAGCCGUAAACGAUGCAUGCUAGGUGUUGGGUUGGCCACGAGCCACCCCAGUGCCGCAGGGAAGCCGUUAAGCAUGCCGCCUGGGAAGUACGAUCGCAAGAUUGAAACUUAAAGGAAUUGGCGGGGG
rnacentral:rRNA from 1 species